UACGGGAGGCAGCAGUGGGGAAUAUUGGACAAUGGGCGAAAGCCUGAUCCAGCCAUGCCGCAUGAGUGAAGAAGGCCUUCGGGUUGUAAAGCUCUUUUAGUGAGAAAGAUAAUGACGGUACUCACAGAAGAAGUCCUGGCUAACUCCGUGCCAGCAGCCGCGGUAAUACGGAGAGGGCUAGCGUUAUUCGGAAUUAUUGGACGUAAAGAGCGCGUAGGCUGAUUAGUAAGUUAAAAGUGAAAUCCCAAAGCUUAACUUUGGAAUUGCUUUUUAAAACUGCUAGUCUAGAGAUUUGAAAGAGGAUAGAGGAAUUCCUAGUGUAGAGGUGAAAUUCGUAAAUAUUAGGAGGAACACCAGUGGCGAAGGCGUCUAUCUGGUUCAAAUCUGACGCUGAGGCGCGAAGGGCGUGGGGAGCAAACGAGGGAUUAGACUACC
rnacentral:rRNA from 1 species